GACAGAGGUGCCAAGCGUUAGGCGGAAUCACUGGGCUUAAAGCGUGUGUAGGCGGCCCGUUAAGUGUCUUGUGAAAUCCCCCGGCUCAACCGGGGAACUGCUGGGCAUACUGGCGGGCUUGGGUCGCUCAGGGGCAGACGGAACAGGCGGUGGAGCGGUGAAAUGCGUAGAUAUCUGGAGGAACACCGGUGGCGAAGGCGGCAUCCUGGACCAACACUGACACUGAGGAGCGAAAGCCAGGGGAGCAAACGGG
rnacentral:rRNA from 1 species